UGAUAUAUUUUAAAGAAAUUAUACGGCAACAGCAUCUCUUUAAAGCACGGAUUUGGCAACAAAGUGAUAAUCCAAGAGACAUUAAAAAUGCAUUAGAGAAUCUGCAGCUUAAUACAAAUAGCAAUAAUGUAAAACUUUAAAAGUUGGACGAAAAAGUGCUUACAAAUUUGUAAAACGCAACUUGAGCCAAAUUCCCACCAAUAAACGAGCUGCUAAAUACAGUUGGCUGGGAAGGAAGAAUAAAUAACGUACAUUCCGUACAUCAAAGCUAUCACAGUUAUUAAUCGCUGCAAACGAGAAAGUCAAUGCUACUUUUACAAGAAAGGAUAUCGAAGAAGCAAUAUAAAAAUGGCUGAAAAGACCGAAAGAAAUAAGGUAUGAUGCGGAACAAAAAAGAUUGAAUACUCAAAGG